GUCAUUUCAGGAUCUACUAUAGGACAGAGGCCAGCAAGCCCGUCCUGGUGCAUCAGACUCUCACUCUAUUACCCAGGCUGGAGUGCGGUGGCAUGAUCUCGGCUCACUGCAAACUCUGCCUCCCCAGUUCAAAUGAUUCUUCUGCCUUCUGCCUCAGCCUCCCAAAUAGCUGGAACUACAGGCCAACUUUUCUACCAGAUAACCCUGACCUCAUCCUGUCAGAAUUGAAUGGACCAAGAAUUGAGCUACCCUAAAAGGCCAGUUUUCUGGAAAUAGUUUGAAGAUACCGACUCAUGGUUAAAUGUUUCACAUUUACCCUCAGAAAUGAGUGCUACUGUUCAGAAACGGAGGUGCCCACUUUGCUUGUGGGAUUUAGGAGGAAAUGCCACACACUGUCAUAGAAAAAAUGGCGUCUCACUCUAUUGCCCAGGCUAGAGUACAAUAGUGCAAUCUUGGCUCACUGCAACCUCCCCCUCCCAGGUUCAAGCCAUUCUCCUGCCUCAGCCUCCCGAGUAGCUAGAACUACAAGCACGUGCACUGUACCCAGCUAAUUUUUUGUAUUUUUAGCAGAGACGGGGUUUCUCCAUGUUGGCCAGGCUGGUCUCGAACUCCUGACCUCAGGUAAUCCACCGCCUCAUCCUCCCAAAAUGCAUUAUCUCUUCCCAAAAUGCAUUAUCUAUUUCAUUAAGAAAAAGGAGAAAGCAACCAUGCUAAGCUUCAAAUAAAAGCAUGUGAGCACACCUGAUGACGCUAGACCCACUGGAAUCUCGCAUAACUCAUCCUGAACGUGUUGGGAAUCAAGUCUCUCAGGAUUAGCCCUGGUAAUCUGAAAGUCACCAGUCAUCAAGAAGUGGCAUCUCUACCAUGUGGUGCAAUCAUAGCCCUGAACUCAAAUUUCUGUCUGAUAUAUUUGAUGUGAUCCCUCCUUUUAUACCCUUUUAACUUCUGCUUGGAGAGACCCACUGACCUUGUAGCUGACUGUCAGAACUUUUCCUUGCCAGGCCAGCAAUAAAUUUGGCAUUGUUUUG
rnacentral:lncRNA from 1 species